rnacentral:rRNA from 1 species
GAUGAACGCUGGCGGCGUGCCUAAUACAUGCAAGUCGAACGCGCAGCGAAAGGUGCUUGCACCUUUCAAGCGAGUGGCGAACGGGUGAGUAACACGUGGAUAACCUGCCUCAAGGCUGGGGAUAACAUUUGGAAACAGAUGCUAAUACCGAAUAAAACUUAGUAUCGCAUGAUACAAAGUUGAAAGGCGCUACGGCGUCACCUAGAGAUGGGUCCGCGGUGCAUUAGUUAGUUGGUGGGGUAAAGGCCUACCAAGACAAUGAUGCAUAGCCGAGUUGAGAGACUGAUCGGCCACAUUGGGACUGAGACACGGCCCAAACUCCUACGGGAGGCUGCAGUAGGGAAUCUUCCACAAUGGGCGAAAGCCUGAUGGAGCAACGCCGCGUGUGUGAUGAAGGCUUUAGGGUCGUAAAGCACUGUUGUAUGGGAAGAAAUGCUAGAAUAGGGAAUGAUUCUAGUUCGACGGUACCAUACCAGAAAGGGACGGCUAAAUACGUGCCAGCAGCCGCGGUAAUACGUAUGUCCCGAGCGUUAUCCGGAUUUAUUGGGCGUAAAGCGAGCGCAGACGGUUGAUUAAGUCUGAUGUGAAAGCCCGGAGCUCAACUCCGGAAUGGCAUUGGAAACUGGUUAACUUGAGUGUUGUAGAGGUAAGUGGAACUCCAUGUGUAGCGGUGGAAUGCGUAGAUAUAUGGAAGAACACCAGUGGCGAAGGCGGCUUACUGGACAACAACUGACGUUGAGGCUCGAAAGUGUGGGUAGCAAACAGGAUUAGAUACCCUGGUAGUCCACACCGUAAACGAUGAAUACUAGGUGUUAGGAGGUUUCCGCCUCUUAGUGCCGAAGCUAACGCAUUAAGUAUUCCGCCUGGGGAGUACGAC